ACCUAUGUCUCGUCUUCCAUAAUUUUUGUCACAGGCUAGACAAAAAGUCAAAAUACAUACAUUGCACUGGCAAAAUACAGACAACUCACACCGUCAAAAGCAAUACAAAAACACAAUCAAUGGACUAUACCUAGCAGCAUAACAAUCAAAUUAAUUGUAGCACAUGAGUAUUGAUAACAGAACUUUUACUCUGGCAAAAAAUAUUUUUUGUUCUAAAAUUUAUUGUUCCAGGGCUUUUAAAAUGGUGGAUAAUUUGUUUUCUA
rnacentral:lncRNA from 1 species